GGCGAACGCUGGCGGCGUGCCUAAUACAUGCAAGUAGAACGCACAGUUUAUACCGUAGCUUGCUACACCAUAGACUGUGAGUUGCGAACGGGUGAGUAACGCGUAGGUAACCUGCCUGGUAGCGGGGGAUAACUAUUGGAAACGAUAGCUAAUACCGCAUAAUAUUAAUUAUUGCAUGAUAAUUAAUUGAAAGGUGCAAUUGCACCACUACCAGAUGGACCUGCGUUGUAUUAGCUAGUAGGUGAGGUAACGGCUCACCUAGGCGACGAUACAUAGCCGACCUGAGAGGGUGAUCGGCCACACUGGGACUGAGACACGGCCCAGACUCCUACGGGAGGCAGCAGUAGGGAAUCUUCGGCAAUGGACGAAAGUCUGACCGAGCAACGCCGCGUGAGUGAAGAAGGUUUUCGGAUCGUAAAGCUCUGUUGUAAGAGAAGAACGGGUGUGAGAGUGGAAAGUUCACACUGUGACGGUAUCUGACCAGAAAGGGACGGCUAACUACGUG
rnacentral:rRNA from 1 species